rnacentral:rRNA from 1 species
AGAACGAACGCUGGCGGCAUGCCUAACACAUGCAAGUCGAACGCCCCGCAAGGGGAGUGGCGGACGGGUGAGUAACACGUGGGAACCUGCCCAAUGGUCUGGAAUAACCGCGGGAAACUGCGGCUAAUACCGGAUAAGCCCGAGAGGGGAAAGAUUUAUCGCCGAUGGAGGGGCCCGCGUCCGAUUAGGUAGUUGGUGGGGUAACGGCCUACCAAGCCUACGAUCGGUAGCUGGUCUGAGAGGAUGAUCAGCCACACUGGGACUGAGAUACGGCCCAGACUCCUACGGGAGGCAGCAGUGGGGAAUAUUGGACAAUGGGGGCAACCCUGAUCCAGCAAUGCCGCGUGAGUGAUGAAGGCCUUAGGGUUGUAAAGCUCGUUUUGGCGGGGACGAUGAUGACGGUACCCGCAGAAUAGCCCGGCUAACUUCGCGCCAGCAGCCGC